UACAGGGGGAGCGAACGUUGCUCGGAAUUACUGGGCAUAAAGGGCACGUAGGCGGUCUUGUAAGUUGGAUGUGAAAGACCCUGGCUCAACCAGGGAAGUGCAUCCAAAACUGCGGGGCUAGAGGCCGAGAGGGGUGAGCGGAACUCCAGGUGGAGCGGUGAAAUGCGUAGAUAUCUGGAGGAACACCGGUGGCGAAAGCGGCUCACUGGUUCGGUUCUGACGCUGAGGUGCGAAAGCCAGGGGAGCAAACGGG
rnacentral:rRNA from 1 species